rnacentral:pre_miRNA from 1 species
AAACCGCCCCCUAAGUUUUGCAACCGUAGCAGUUUUGGCCCCCAAGGCCAAUUUUUGGUAAAAAUAAAAAGAAAUUAACAUGUGGAACCUCACUUAGGGUGCCACAUCAGCGUAGACCGAGUCAAAAUUGACCUUGGGGGCCAUAACUUCCACAGAUGCAAAACUUAGGGGUGGUUU